rnacentral:rRNA from 1 species
UACGAAAGGUGCGAGCGUUAAUCGGAAUUACUGGGCGUAAAGCGCGCGUAGGCGGCUAUUUAAGUCUGAUGUGAAAUCCCCGGGCUCAACCUGGGAAUGGCAUCGGAUACUGGGUAGCUAGAGUGCAGUAGAGGAAGGUGGAAUUCCAGGUGUAGCGGUGAAAUGCGUAGAGAUCUGGAGGAACACCAGUGGCGAAGGCGGCCUUCUGGACUGACACUGACGCUGAGGUGCGAAAGCGUGGGGAUCAAACAGG